CUACAAAGGCCUGACUGGAGAUUUGCCUGAUAUAUCCGUCCUUCAGGUGACAGCGGCUCACUUGUAGAGCAGGUGAAGCAAGUUGGGACAAUGUUGAAGGCGUUUGCUCGCACUGGGCAAUCAGGUGCAGAUCAGACCCCAAUGCUGCGA